rnacentral:rRNA from 1 species
CUUUCUCCGCCGGCGACCGGCGCACGGGUGAGUAACACGUAUGCAACCUGCCCCUGUCAGGGGGACAACCCGCCGAAAGGCGGGCUAAACCCGCGUACAUGCCACCGGGGCAUCCCGGAGGCAGGAAAGGCUUCGGCCGGACAGGGAUGGGCAUGCGGCGCACUAGGCAGUAGGCGGGGUAACGGCCCACCUAACCGACGAUGCGUAGGGGUUCUGAGAGGAAGGUCCCCCACACUGGUACUGAGACACGGACCAGACUCCUACGGAAGGCAGCAG